rnacentral:rRNA from 1 species
UACAUAGGGGGCGAGCGUUGUUCGGAAUUAUUGGGCGUAAAGGGCGCGUAGGCGGCCCGCUAAGUCGAGCGUGAAAUCCCCAGGCUCAACCUGGGAACUGCGUCCGAUACUGUCAGGCUUGAAUCCGGGAGAGGGAUGUGGAAUUCCAGGUGUAGCGGUGAAAUGCGUAGAUAUCUGGAGGAACACCGGUGGCGAAAGCGGCUUACUGGGUCUCUUCUGACGCUGAGGAACGAAAGCUAGGGUAGCGAACGGG